AUCAUUUAUAAUUACAUCAAUCGGAGUUUGUUUUGGGAUUGGGGGAGGCAGUAAAGAACAAAAGAAAAAAAAUAGCAAGAAAGAAAGAUAAUGGAAAAAAAAAAAGAGAAAGGAAGGAAACAACCAAGAAACUAGAGGUGUCAAUUUAACCCAUGGCCCCAGGGCCAGCCCCAACCCACUAUUGAAAAAGCCCUAUUUUAAGAAGCCCCUUAAGUA
rnacentral:lncRNA from 1 species